rnacentral:rRNA from 1 species
GACGAACGCUGGCGGCGUGCUUAACACAUGCAAGUCGAACGGAAAGGCCCUGCUUUUGUGGGGUGCUCGAGUGGCGAACGGGUGAGUAACACGUGAGUAACCUGCCCUUGACUUUGGGAUAACUUCAGGAAACUGGGGCUAAUACCGGAUAGGAGCUCCUGCUGCAUGGUGGGGGUUGGAAAGUGUCGGCGGUUGGGGAUGGACUCGCGGCUUAUCAGCUUGUUGGUGGGGUAGUGGCUUACCAAGGCUUUGACGGGUAGCCGGCCUGAGAGGGUGACCGGCCACAUUGGGACUGCGAUACGGCCCAGACUCCUACGGGAGGCAGCAGUGGGGAAUAUUGCACAAUGGGCGGAAGCCUGAUGCAGCAACGCCGCGUGCGGGAUGACGGCCUUCGGGUUGUAAACCGCUUUCGCCUGUGACGAAGCGUGAGUGACGGUAAUGGGUAAAGAAGCACCGGCUAACUACGUG